ACUGGUUCAUCUGCUUGUUGGCAGAUUCACGGAGGCUUCUCCGUUGGUUAAAAUGAUGACGGUUCUGGCAAACUUGGACUUGCCGGUUGAAAAAACAUCCUUAAGGAACUUCAACUGCAGGUAUAAAUAAAGCUGGUCCACGAAAGUCAUGACGUCGCCAGGUUGGACGAUAUCAACAUUCGGAAAAGUCCUACGUCAAUACUGUCCAGCCGGAUUGGCUCAUUCUUUAAUGUAGCACUGGAUAAAACGGAGCAGCUCUGUACCAUUUUUCGGGAGAAGUUUUUUAGGAUAAUUUCCUGGUGGAUAAAGCAUAUCAACGCCGAUCAGAUUAUGGUAAACGGUUCAAACAUCACAUAUUUCCAGAUAGGAAAUUCUGACGAAAUUGCGUUUCAGUCGGCGAUUUCGGAAGCAGUGCAAGGUCAACUCCAACCUGUUCCACACCUUCCAUCAUAUGGGUUCAUCUAGCAGACGCAUAAUGCCGGUGGCUUCCGAAAAAGCGAGUCUUUCAUUUUAGGCGUUAUCGAAGGAAAAUUGAAAUGAUAAUUCGGAAAGAACGCGAUGAAAUAGGACAAUGUUAGUUUUUCCAUACGGCCGUGCUGGACGAUCUAUUCGAGGAUUCUAAGGUUUUCCAUCAGUCCAGUUUGUCUAUGUCUUUUCCUUCGGCAGUUUAAAGAAUUGCAACCGACACAGACAUCGACGAUGCGGAGAAAGAUAACGGAGGAAAUUGCGGAAUAAUAGAUGGAUAAAUAGCCUAAGGUCCUGCCCACUAUUUUGGAAAACAUCGGUGAUAUUCCGGAUACAGAUAUGGGUCCAGCGAAGUUUGUGAAAAAAUAAUAAUUA